rnacentral:rRNA from 1 species
GAUGAACGCUGGCGGCGUGCCUAAUACAUGCAAGUCGAGCGAACAGACGAGGAGCCUGCUCCUCUGACGUUAGCGGCGGACGGGUGAGUAACACGUGGAUAACCUACCUAUAAGACUGGGAUAACUUCGGGAAACCGGAGCUAAUACCGGAUAAUAUAUUGAACCGCAUGGUUCAAUAGUGAAAGACGGUUUUGCUGUCACUUAUAGAUGGAUCCGCGCCGCAUUAGCUAGUUGGUAAGGUAACGGCUUACCAAGGCAACGAUGCGUAGCCGACCUGAGAGGGUGAUCGGCCACACUGGAACUGAGACACGGUCCAGACUCCUACGGGAGGCAGCAGUAGGGAAUCUUCCGCAAUGGGCGAAAGCCUGACGGAGCAACGCCGCGUGAGUGAUGAAGGUCUUCGGAUCGUAAAACUCUGUUAUUAGGGAAGAACAAAUGUGUAAGUAACUAUGCACGUCUUGACGGUACCUAAUCAGAAAGCCACGGCUAACUACGU